AAUAAUUUGCCUUAUAAUUUGAGGCUAGAAUGAAUGGUUUGACGAAGGUUAAUCUGUCUCUACUUUAUUUUUUAGAAUUUAAUUUUUAUAGUGAAAAAGCUUGAAUUUUUUAAAGGGACGAGAAGACCCUAAUGAGCUUAUAAUUUUAUGUUUGUCAUUAAUAUUAGUGAGGUGAAAUAUAAAUUUUAAUUGGGGUGAUUGAGGAAUAAAAGUAUAUAAGUAACUUCCUUAAACUUAAUGUUGUUGGAUAAAGUAACCAAUAUUUUUUUGCUUAUAAUAUAGUUACCAUAGGGAUAACAGCGUAAUUUGUUUAGAGAGUUCUUAUUGAAAAACAAGAUUGCGACCUCGAUGUUGGAUUAAAGUCACCUUAAGGUGCAGAAGCUU
rnacentral:rRNA from 1 species